rnacentral:rRNA from 1 species
UACGUAGGGUGCGAGCGUUAAUCGGAAUUACUGGGCGUAAAGCGUGCGCAGGCGGUUUGUUAAGCGAGAUGUGAAAGCCCCGGGCUCAACCUGGGAACCGCAUUUCGAACUGGCAAACUAGAGUCUUGGAGAGGGGGGUAGAAUUCCAGGUGUAGCGGUGAAAUGCGUAGAGAUCUGGAGGAAUACCGGUGGCGAAGGCGGCCCCCUGGACAAAGACUGACGCUCAGGCACGAAAGCGUGGGGAGCAAACAGG